rnacentral:rRNA from 1 species
UGGGGAAUUUUGGACAAUGGGCGCAAGCCUGAUCCAGCCAUGCCGCGUGCGGGAAGAAGGCCUUCGGGUUGUAAACCGCUUUUGUCAGGGAAGAAAUCUUCUGAGUUAAUACCUCGGGAGGAUGACGGUACCUGAAGAAUAAGCACCGGCUAACUACGUGCCAGCAGCCGCGGUAAUACGUAGGGUGCAAGCGUUAAUCGGAAUUACUGGGCGUAAAGCGUGCGCAGGCGGUUUUGUAAGACAGAGGUGAAAUCCCCGGGCUCAACCUGGGAACUGCCUUUGUGACUGCAAGGCUUGAGUGCGGCAGAGGGGGAUGGAAUUCCGCGUGUAGCAGUGAAAUGCGUAGAUAUGCGGAGGAACACCGAUGGCGAAGGCAAUCCCCUGGGCCUGCACUGACGCUCAUGCACGAAAGCGUGGGGAGCAAACAGGAUUAGAUACCCUGGUAGUCACGCCCUAAACGAUGUCAACUGGUUGUUGGGAAGGUUCCUUCUCAGUAACGUAGCUAACGCGUGAAGUUGACCGCCUGGGGAGUACGGCCGCAA